GUGUUGCAUGAAAGGAGAGAAGCUGAGCACUCCCCUUGACAAGGAUGGAAGAGGCCCUCGGACCUGACGACACACAUACGGUUAAGGCAUUGCCACCUACUACUACAGUGUUAUACUUAUGUUUUUU